UACAGAGGGGGCAAGCGUUGUUCGGAAUUACUGGGCGUAAAGGGCGCGUAGGCGGCCUUCUAAGUCGAACGUGAAAUCCCUGGGCUCAACCCAGGAACUGCGUCCGAUACUGGGAGGCUUGAAUCCGGGAGAGGGAUGCGGAAUUCCAGGUGUAGCGGUGAAAUGCGUAGAUAUCUGGAGGAACACCGGUGGCGAAGGCGGCAUUCUGGACCGACAUUGACGCUGAGGAGCGAAAGCCAGGGGAGCAAACGGG
rnacentral:rRNA from 1 species